rnacentral:rRNA from 1 species
AGAGUUUGAUCAUGGCUCAGGAUGAACGCUGGCGGCGUGCCUAAUACAUGUAAGUCGAACGGAGUAUGUAGCGAUAUAUACUUAGUGGCGAACGGGUGAGUAACGCGUUGGUGACCUGCCCCGAGGAGGGGGAUAACAGUUCGAAAGGACUGCUAAUACCCCAUGUGGUCAUAAAGGUUAGAGGCUGAAUGACUGAAGGAGCAAUCCGCUUCGGGAGGGGCCUGCGUCCCAUCAGCUAGUUGGUAGGGUAAAGGCCUACCAAGGCAAAGACGGGUAGGGGGCCUGAGAGGGUGACCCCCCACACUGGCACUGAAACACGGGCCAGACACCUACGGGUGGCAGCAGUAGGGAAUAUUGCACAAUGGGCGAAAGCCUGAUGCAGCAACGCCGCGUGCGCGAAGAAGGCCUUCGGGUCGUAAAGCGCUUUUUGGGGAGAUGAGGAAGGACAGUAUCUCCAGAAUAAGGCUCGGCUAACUACGUGCCAGCAGCCGCGGUAAAACGUAGGAGCCAAGCGUUAUCCGAAUUCACUGGGCGUAAAGCGCGUGCAGGCGGCUCGAUAAGUUGGAUGUGAAAGCUCCCGGCUCAACUGGGAGAGGCCGUUCAAUACUGUCGGGCUAGAGGGCGGCAGAGGGAGGUGGAAUUCCCGGUGUAGUGGUGAAAUGCGUAGAUAUCGGGAGGAACACCAGCGGCGAAGGCGGCCUUCUGGGCCGCACCUGACGCUCAGACGCGACAGCUAGGGGAGCGAACGGGAUUAGAAACCCCGGUAGUCCUAGCCGUAAACGAUGUAGACUUGAUGUCGGCGGGGUAAAAGCCGUCGGUGCCGAAGCAAACGCGAUAAGUCUACCGCCUGGGGACUACGGCCGCAGGUUAAAACUCAAAUGAAUUGACGG